rnacentral:tRNA from 1 species
AGGCACGUAGCUCAGUUGGUUAGAGCACCACCUUGACAUGGUGGGGUCGUUGGUUCGAGUCCAAUCGCGCCUACCA